rnacentral:rRNA from 1 species
UACGUAGGGGGCAAGCGUUGUCCGGAAUCAUUGGGCGUAAAGAGCGUGUAGGCGGUCCGGUAAGUCGGCUGUGAAAGUCCAGGGCUCAACCCUGGGAUGCCGGUCGAUACUGCCGGACUAGAGUUCGGAAGAGGCGAGUGGAAUUCCCGGUGUAGCGGUGAAAUGCGCAGAUAUCGGGAGGAACACCUAUGGCGAAGGCAGCUCGCUGGGACGUUACUGACGCUGAGGUGCGAAAGCGUGGGGAGCAAACAGG